CCUACGGGAGGCAGCAGUGAGGAAUAUUGGUCAAUGGGCGCGAGCCUGACCCAGCCAAGUAGCGUGAAGGAUGACUGCCCUAUGGGUUGUAAACUUCUUUUAUAUGGGAAUAAAGUGAUUCACGUGUGCCUUUUUGUAUGUACCUUAUGAAUAAGGAUAGGCUAACUCCGUGCCAGCAGCCGCGGUAAUACGGAGGAUCCGAGCGUUAUCCGGAUUUAUUGGGGUUAAAGGGAGCGUAGAUGGGUUGUUAAGUCAGUUGUGAAAGUUUGCGGCUCAACCGUAAAAUUGCAGUUGAUACUGGCAGCCUUGAGUACAGUAGAGGUUGGCGGAAUUCGUGGUGUAGCGGUGAAAUGCUUAGAUAUCACGAAGAACUCCGAUUGCGAAGGCAGCUAACUGGACUGCAACUGACACUGAGGCGCGAAAGUGUGGGUAUCAAACAGGAUUAGAUACCCGAGUAGUC
rnacentral:rRNA from 1 species